UGCUGGACGAUCAAGCUUCGAAGUUCAAGCUGAAACACGGAACCACUCGAUAUUUGCUGAGAGACCUCCGUGUACCUGAAACAAUAUGACUACAAGCUCCAAGGAAGUGAACGCCGUCCUGCACUCUUCUUCUAUGCACUAUCCUUCGGAACAUUUAGCACCAAUUCAUUUAUUCAGCAUAAGUAAAGAGUUGAAUCACGUGCUGCUCUUGCCGGUUUCUUACCCUCUACAGCCUGGAAGUCUUCAAUUUGAAUCGAAUAGUGAGGACGAGUUAAUCGAGCCGUUGCCUGGCGACAAAAAAUAAGAAAAUGGAAAAUGAUUCAAUAAAUGGUUUUAUUCU
ensembl:lincRNA linc-64 ncRNA